rnacentral:rRNA from 1 species
GUAGGGAAUCUUCCGCAAUGGACGAAAGUCUGACGGAGCAACGCCGCGUGAGUGAUGAAGGCUUUCGGGUCGUAAAACUCUGUUGUUAGGGAAGAACAAGUACGAGAGUAACUGCUCGUACCUUGACGGUACCUAACCAGAAAGCCACGGCUAACUACGUGCCAGCAGCCGCGGUAAUACGUAGGUGGCAAGCGUUAUCCGGAAUUAUUGGGCGUAAAGCGCGCGCAGGCGGUUUCUUAAGUCUGAUGUGAAAGCCCACGGCUCAACCGUGGAGGGUCAUUGGAAACUGGGGAACUUGAGUGCAGAAGAGAAAAGCGGAAUUCCACGUGUAGCGGUGAAAUGCGUAGAGAUGUGGAGGAACACCAGUGGCGAAGGCGGCUUUUUGGUCUGUAACUGACGCUGAGGCGCGAAAGCGUGGGGAGCAAACAGGAUUAGAAACCCCAGUAGUCC